GACGAACGCUGGCGGCGUGCUUAACACAUGCCAGUCGAACGGAGAGGCCCUGCUUGCAGGGUGCUCGAGUGGCGAACGGGUGAGUAACACGUGGGUGAUCUGCCCCUUACUUUGGGAUAAGCCUGGGAAACUGGGUCUAAUACUGGAUAGGACCAUGCUGUAGGUGGUGUGGUGGAAAGAUUAGUUUCGGUAAGGGAUGAGCUCGCGGCCUAUCAGCUUGUUGGUGGGGUAAUGGCCUACCAAGGCGUCGACGGGUAGCCGGCCUGAGAGGGUGGACGGCCACAUUGGGACUGAGAGACGGCCCAGACUCCUACGGGAGGCAGCAGUGGGGAAUAUUGCACAAUGGGCGCAAGCCUGAUGCAGCGACGCCGCGUGGGGGAUGACGGCCUUCGGGUUGUAAACUCCUUUCAGCCAUGACGAAGCCCUUGUGGUGACGGUAGUGGUAGAAGAAGCACCGGCUAACUACGUG
rnacentral:rRNA from 1 species